CAGUCAAACUGGGACAUUACAAAGGUAAUGUAAAAAAAAAGGAGAAAAGAAUAGAAGAGGGUAAAAAAAAUCAAAAAUCAGGAAAAAAAUUUCAAAUUUUUUCUAUAGAAAAAGAAAAAUGAUACCCUCAAGUCCCUAGUUGACUGAUGCUGAAUGGAUUCAGAGUCGUUAUGACCAGUUGAAUUUGAUUGAAGAGAAG
rnacentral:lncRNA from 1 species